rnacentral:lncRNA from 1 species
CCAGGCUUGUGUCCAGUCUGGACUCUAUGGAGCAGCCCCCAAAGCAGGUCUGGGCACUGCCUGAGGGGUGGUCUGUGCUGGGGGCACUCUUAGGGCUGGGCUGGAGGCUCUGACCUUUGUUUUUCUCCCUUUGCAGAUGAGACCACCCACCAGCAGUGAUUCCUUCUCCAGCAGGCUCCUGGGGCAGAUCCUUCAGCUCAGCUUGGUCAAGUACCCUCUGAAGCUCCUUCAGAAAGCCUCUGUGUGGAUUGGAUUGGUGCUUCCUGUGGAGUCCAUCAGGAACAGGCUCUGCCCUCCAUCCCAGUCCCCCUCCAGGCCUGGGCUCCUGCGCCUGCUGCUCUCCCUGACCCCCACCAGCAUCCAGAACCUUCUGUGCCACCUCCCAACUGACUGGAGCCACAGCAGCAUGUCCGAGGAGAUCCGGGAGGCUCCCAUCAACCCAACCAGCAAAGCCAGCAAGAGGAAGAGGGAUGAUGUAGCUCUGGAGCAGCAGGAGUCCUGGUUUGAGGUGCUGGAGAGGGAUUUGCCAGAGGAUGACCCUGAAGACUUCUCAUAUGAGCCCUCAGAGCUGGAGUCAGACAGUGACGAGUACCAGACCCAAAAUGACACCGACCUGGAGCUGGAGGAGCAGGGUGAGAUCACAGAGCUGGAGCUCGCAGCUGUCCAGGUGAGUGUUCCUGCCCCAUUCCUGAGGACAGGACCAAUCCUGCCCUGCAAGGAUUCACCUCAGGAGGUGGCCUGGGCUUGCUCUGCUCUGAAUUCCAUGAAUCCAGUAUGGAUUUUGUGCUGUUCUGACCCUGUCCCUGUGCCACACAACCCCCAGGGCUUUGUGUUGCCGCCAGAGCUGGGAGCAGAAGAUCCAGAUGUGGCCAGCGGUGAUGCCCAGGAGCCAGGAGGGGAUGGCAGCAGUGAGCAGGAGACUGACACAACCUGUGACACCAGCUCAUCCCAGGAUGGGGAAAACCAGGAAGCCUGACUUGUGCACCUGGACCUUCUGGGGCUGCAGAGUGCCUGAUUCCCUGGGACAGCUGUGUCCCUGAGGAAAGUGUCCAGUUAAAUGCUGUGUUCAUGUUGUUUGUGUCCUUUUUUCUGAAGCUUGUAAUAAAAUCAC